rnacentral:misc_RNA from 1 species
UAGGAGAUCUUCUGGCCAUGCAAACACAAUCCAAAAAUUCCUAAAGGAACAACCGCAAACAAGAAUAUAUAGGUCUUCAAAUCCAGUCCUUUCAAAAUACACUUCACUCUUGACAUGGUCAAAGCUGCACGGGAGGCCUGCUGGCCACAAACGUCUUCGCAUUUAUCAUCAGUCUUCUUCGAAAUGUAAUACCCAUCAGACAUGAUUA